rnacentral:rRNA from 1 species
AUUGAACGCUGGCGGCAGGCCUAACACAUGCAAGUCGAGCGGAGCGGCGGACGGGUGAGUAAUGCCUAGGAAUCUGCCUGGUCGUGGGGGAUAACGUCCGGAAACGGGCGCUAAUACCGCAUACUAUCGGAUGAGCCGAGGUCGGAUUAGCUAGUUGGUGGGGUAAAGGCCUACCAAGGCGACGAUCCGUAACUGGUCUGAGAGGAUGAUCAGUCACACUGGAAAUGAGACACAGUCCAGACUCCUACGGGUGGAAGCGGGUGGGAAUAUUGCAGCAUGGGGGAAACACGGAUGCAGCAACGCCGGGUGGGGGAUGACGGCCUUCGGGUUGUAAACCGCUUUCAGCCAUGACGCGGUAGUGGCAGAAGAAGCACCGGCUAACUACGUGCCAGCAGCCGCGGUAAUAC